UGGGGUGUAGCCAAACGGUAAGGCAGCGGACUCUGGAUCCGCCACCUGUUGGUUCGAAUCCAGCCACCCCAGCCA
rnacentral:tRNA from 1 species